UUGUGGUUAAACCACUGGAACUCCGCCCCAAAGGAUGAUGUCCGUGGAUACGGAAUGGGACGAAGGGGAGGAUCACAU
rnacentral:sRNA from 12 species